rnacentral:rRNA from 1 species
UACGGAGGGUGCAAGCGUUAUCCGGAUUCACUGGGUUUAAAGGGUGCGUAGGUGGGUUGGUAAGUCAGUGGUGAAAUCCCCGAGCUUAACUUGGGAACUGCCAUUGAUACUAUUAAUCUUGAAUACCGUGGAGGUUAGCGGAAUAUGUCAUGUAGCGGUGAAAUGCUUAGAUAUGACAUAGAACACCAAUUGCGAAGGCAGCUGGCUACACGAAUAUUGACACUGAGGAGCGAAAGCGUGGGGAGCGAACAGG